AUUAAGAUAUAAACAGAUAUAAACAUUUUUGGGCGAGACUACUAUGACAUAAUUUACUUGAGUGUCAUUCAUUAUGGUGAAAAACAAUUUAACUGUUGGUGCCUUUUCGGUUCCUUUUGCUGAAGGAUUUGUCGAAGAAGAUGGAGAGAUUGUUCCUAAAUUGAAGUCACUUAAACGACUUGCAGCAAUCAUGACUGAUUAUGGCCCAUUUAAUUUGAAAUUUCAUUUACCAGAAUCUGGACAACUAGGUGUGCUUACAGAGACUGGUUAUCAUGAUGG